AAGUCGAGCGGUAACAGAGAUAGCUUGCUAUCUGCUGACGAGCGGCGGACGGGUGAGUAAUGCUUGGGAAUAUGCCUUUAGGUGGGGGACAACAGUUGGAAACGACUGCUAAUACCGCAUGAUGUCUACGGACCAAAGUGGGGGACCUUCGGGCCUCACGCCUAAAGAUUAGCCCAAGUGGGAUUAGCUAGUUGGUUGAGGUAAAGGCUCACCAAGGCAACGAUCCCUAGCUGGUUUGAGAGGAUGAUCAGCCACACUGGAACUGAGACACGGUCCAGACUCCUACGGGAGGCAGCAGUGGGGAAUAUUGCACAAUGGGCGCAAGCCUGAUGCAGCCAUGCCGCGUGUGUGAAGAAGGCCCUAGGGUUGUAAAGCACUUUCAGCGAGGAGGAAAGGUUAGUAUUUAAUAUAUACUAGCUGUGACGUUACUCGCAGAAGAAGCACCGGCUAACUUCGUGCCAGCAGCCGCGGUAAUACGAGGGGUGCAAGCGUUAAUCGGAAUUACUGGGCGUAAAGCGUACGCAGGCGGUUUGUUAAGCGAGAUGUGAAAGCCCCGGGCUCAACCUGGGAACUGCAUUUCGAACUGGCAGACUAGAGUAUGAUAGAGGGUGGUAGAAUUUC
rnacentral:rRNA from 1 species